GAUGAACGCUAGCGGCAGGCUUAACACAUGCAAGUCGAGGGACCGGCGGAAGGGUGCGUAACGCGUGAGCGACAUGCCCGUUGCCCGGGGACAACCGGUGGAAACGCCGACUAAUCCCCGAUGGCGACGGAUUGGCUCGCGUCCGAUUAGCUUGUUGGCGGGGUAACGGCCCACCAAGGCUACGAUCGGUAGGGGUUCUGAGAGGAAGGCCCCCCACAAUGGGACUGAGACACGGCCCAUACUCCUACGGGAGGCAGCAGUGAGGAAUAUUGGUCAAUGGACGAGAGUCUGAACCAGCCAAGUAGCGUGCAGGAUGACGGCCUAUGGGUUGUAAACUGCUUUUGCGCGGGGAUAGGUACCGCGCGAAUAAGGACCGGCUAAUUCCGUGCCAGCAGCCGCGGUAAUACGGAAGGUCCGGGCGUUAUCCGGAUUUAUUGGGUUUAAAGGGAGCGUAGCCGUGAGGUAAGCGUGUUGUGAAAUGUAGGCGCCCAACGUCUGCACUGCAGCGCGAACUGCCCCACUUGAGUGCGCGCAACGCCGGCGGAACUC
rnacentral:rRNA from 1 species